GUUCCCUACGGGGGGCAGCAGUAGGGAAUCUUCCACAAUGGGCGCAAGCCUGAUGGAGCAACACCGCGUGAGUGAAGAAGGGUUUCGGCUCGUAAAGCUCUGUUGUUGGAGAAGAACGUGCGUGAGAGUAACUGUUCAUGCAGUGACGGUAUCCAACCAGAAAGUCACGGCUAACUACGUGCCAGCAGCCGCGGUAAUACGUAGGCGGCCAGCGUUAUCCGGGUUUAUUGGGCGUAAA
rnacentral:rRNA from 1 species